UACGGAGGGGGCUAGCGUUGUUCGGAAUUACUGGGCGUAAAGCGUGCGUAGGCGGUGACUUAAGUCUGCUGUGAAAUCCCCGGGCUCAACCUGGGAAUGGCAGUGGAUACUGGGUCGCUAGAGUGUGAUAGAGGAUGGUGGAAUUCCCGGUGUAGCGGUGAAAUGCGUAGAGAUCGGGAGGAACAUCAGUGGCGAAGGCGGCCAUCUGGAUCAACACUGACGCUGAGGCACGAAAGCGUGGGGAGCAAACAGG
rnacentral:rRNA from 1 species